GCGGUGGCUUGCCAACCAGCCCUUCAGACUCCGAAUGACCAGACACCCCAUCACACAUCACUCUACCGCCUGUGUCUCCUGCUGGACACAUUCUUCAAAUUCUCCCCCCUCUUCUGUAUCAGUUGGGAAGCUUUCAGCAACCCACUGAAAGCGACUUAAAUACAAGAACACUUUGUUGUCUCGGACAAUGAGAAGUCUCCAGGAAGGCCCCACGUGGCUGAAUUCAGCAGCUGUAUGAUGGCGUCAAGGAUCCAAGUUUCUUCCAUCACUUCACUCUUCCAUCCUCACUACAGCAGGCUUUUAAUGGACGUGCUCUCUCGUGGCUGGCUGGCCGGUCCCUCUACCCAACAAAGCCACUACUUGCAAAACUCCCCUUGGUAACCUGAACCCUCAUUACGCUCAGGCCCCACCCCAGAC